UAUCAAAUCAUUUUACCAUUUUGUAAGUUGAGAAGCUGCUGGUAAAUUUCUGGAACUGUUAUUGUCUCAACAAUCCUGAUUUAUUGACCCUGAGUGUCACAACAAAGGCUAUAUAAAUAUCAGUUAUACACUCACUUGAAACUUCACGCUGUUACACACGAUCUUGUAUUUGCAGAACAAUCAGCACUCCGCUAUAGCUCUCUAUAGCCUAGCAUUUUGUCACAUUUCAGGAAUUUUCUUGUACUGAUGUUUUUCUUACAAAUGUUACAAAGCAACGUGCUGCUUGUCGAAGGAAGUCUUGGAUUACUAUCAAUGACGUCACUAUCACGUGGGGAUCAUGUGGGUGAUAGGAUUGAAGCGUGAACUAUAUGUCAGACAGAAGUUUGAACAGUGAUGUUUGCUUCACUAUAAAAGAGAUGAUAAACGAGUGUUACUGUCAUUUCAAAAUUAAUCACCGGGAAACGAAUUAAGAUUAUUAAAGGUAUCAAACGGAUACAGAGUUAAAAUGAAGGUUUUUACAUUUUCAACAUUCGGACUUCUUCUGUUCGUGAUAUCCAGUGUAUUGACGUUUCCCUCUUUUCAAAUAAGAGAAAGUUAUCACAAGCAAACUAAAAGUUUACGUGUCGGAUAUUGCCAAGAAAACGAGGCUGAACAUACAAACUGUUAUGUGUGUGCAAGACUAUAUCAAAGUUAUGAACUUUACGUAGACUGUUGUGACAGAAGACCUACAUCAAUGGUACAAAUAUGCCAAGCUCAACUGCCAACAUGGAACAGUUUAUAAUGGCUUUUGGUAUGUCAAAUGGACUGCUGAAAAAAAUAGCGGCAAUCUCGCUUAUGUAAUGAAUCUCACUAUUCCUCAACAUUCCUCUAAGAAAUUUGGUGAUAAAACUCGACAAUAAGUUCAGCGAAGAUUUAUGAUUGAAAACUGUAAUGAUUCGUAUGAUGUGUAAAAACAAGUGUUUAAAACUAGCAAGAUUUAAAAAAAUGAUUUUAUUACAGAGACACGUGAUACUUAUUUCAAGACUUAGUUUUAUCAUAAAGAUAUCUUGUGCACAAAUAAAAAAAGACAAAUAAUAACUUUGUUAAUAGUUCAUUCAACAAUACAGAAAAUAAUUCAUAAUUAUUUGUUAUUGUCUUAGAAGAUACUAAAUUGUUAUUUUUGUAUUAAAAAAAUUAUUCAUACAUUUGUUGUUUGUACAUUUUAGAUUAUUUUCAUGUUUAACAUAUUGACAGUAUACAAGCUUAGAACAUAACAAAAAACGAAUUCAAAUGUAAUUUUUAAUUGGAAGUCCGUAUUUAUGCACACAAUGGAAUUAGUCAAAUAUAGAUGUAAUAGAACGAGUACAUAUCAGCACCAGAUGACAUAACACAAAUACAGAUAUCUGUUUCUAUCCAGUGCAAGAUGGUCAUUAAAAAUUGAAAAAAAUAUCAUUGUUACUUUCCUAAAAUAGUCUUAGUGUUCAGCGAAGUAGUUAACUUUUAUUAAGCACGAAGUUCAUGAUUGUAAUUAACGGACACGAAUAUAUUGAACGCCCCUCGUUUCUAUAUAAAAAUAUGAUGCAAAUAAUUCCACAAUAAU